GACGAACGCUGGCGGCGUGCCUAAUACAUGCAAGUCGAACGCUUCUUUUUCCACCGGGAGCUUGCUCCACCGGAAAAAGAGGAGUGGCGAACGGGUGAGUAACACGUGGGUAACCUGCCCAUCAGAAGGGGAUAACACUUGGAAACAGGUGCUAAUACCGUAUAACAAUCGAAACCGCAUGGUUUUGAUUUGAAAGGCGCUUUCGGGUGUCGCUGAUGGAUGGACCCGCGGUGCAUUAGCUAGUUGGUGAGGUAACGGCUCACCAAGGCCACGAUGCAUAGCCGACCUGAGAGGGUGAUCGGCCACAUUGGGACUGAGACACGGCCCAAACUCCUACGGGAGGCAGCAGUAGGGAAUCUUCGGCAAUGGACGAAAGUCUGACCGAGCAACGCCGCGUGAGUGAAGAAGGUUUUCGGAUCGUAAAACUCUGUUGUUAGAGAAGAACAAGGACGAGAGUAACUGUUCAUCCCUUGACGGUAUCUAACCAGAAAGCCACGGCUAACUACGUGCCAGCAGCCGCGGUAAUACGUAGGUGGCAAGCGUUGUCCGGAUUUAUUGGGCGUAAAGCGAGCGCAGGCGGUUUCUUAAGUCUGAUGUGAAAGCCCCCGGCUCAACCGGGGAGGGUCAUUGGAAACUGGGAGACUUGAGUGCAGAAGAGGAGAGUGGAAUUCCAUGUGUAGCGGUGAAAUGCGUAGAUAUAUGGAGGAACACCAGUGGCGAAGGCGGCUCUCUGGUCUGUAACUGACGCUGAGGCUCGAAAG
rnacentral:rRNA from 1 species